CCUACGGGAGGCAGCAGUGAGGAAUAUUGGUCAAUGGCCGGGAGGCUGAACCAGCCAAGUCGCGUGAGGGAAGACGGCCCUACGGGUUGUAAACCUCUUUUGUCAGGGAGCAAGGUGCAGGUCGGGACCUGCUGUGAGAGUACCUGAAGAAAAAGCAUCGGCUAACUCCGUGCCAGCAGCCGCGGUAAUACGGGGGAUGUGAGCGUUAUCCGGAUUUCUUGGGUUUAAAGGGUGCACAGGCGGAGGAACAAGGCAGCGGGAAAAUCGCGGAGCUCAACCCCGCUCCGCCGUUGAAACUGUGUCCCUUGAGUGCGCGAAGGGUAGGCGGAAUGCGUGGUGUAGCGGUGAAAUGCAGAGAUAUCACGCAGAACUCCGAUCGCGAAGGCAGCCUACCGGCGCGCAACUGACGCUCAUGCACGAAAGCGUGGGUAUCGAACAGGAUUAGAUACCCUAGUAGUC
rnacentral:rRNA from 1 species